rnacentral:misc_RNA from 1 species
AAUGUCGUAACAAGGGUUUCCGUAGGUGAACCUGCGGAAGGAUCAUUACCGAGUUAGGGUUCUAUUCCAGGCCCCAGACCUCCAACCCUGUGUUUACAUUACCAUGUUGCUUUGGCGGGCCCGCUCUUCGGGGUCCGCCGGGGGAUUUUAUCACCCCUGGCCCGUGCUCGCCGGUGGCCUUAUUAAAUUGCUUUUUUCAACUGUGAUGUCUGAGUCUAAAUUAUAAACUCGUUAAAAU